rnacentral:lncRNA from 1 species
CCAUUGCUGCAACCUCGCCAGUCUAUUUACCCCGAACACAGCAACGUUAUGGUUCCAGUCUAUUUCACCAAUGUAUUUAUAAGGUAAUAAUGCAGAGGGCGUGGGUUGGGCUUACAAAGACCCAGAACAAGUUCAAUUACAGCCGCAAGCGUGGUUUACCUAUCCUCAGUAUGACAAGAUUCGACGAAUACUCUGCUUGGAUGAUCCACAUGACGGUGUCAAAUAAGGCACUAUGUACUUCUUCAUGUCGCUCCUUGAUAUGCGGAGGUGACCUCCGGGCACCGACACAAACUUAACACGCCCAGCCUCAUCCAAAGUCCUCAAGCUGAUCCAAUCUUCGGUAUUUAGCUUUGCCGGAUGUAAAGUAAUCAAUCCGUUAUUUUUCCAUUCAUUGAUCGAAGGCAUUUAAGAGUUUUGUUACGUCAUCGUACGCCAGAGAAGGCACAUGAAUUAUUCAAUCUACUUUUCCUUUCAAUCGAGAAGAUUUUAAUAUAUGAAGUUUCUGAAUAUUGUAGGAAACAUGAACCAUUUUUAAAUCCUGAACAGAUUUUUCAAAAUUAUGCACACCUAAAGAAAAACGCGAACACAAUUAGAAACAGAAUCAUCUUUUAAAAUUCACAGACAUUUUUUGAAAACACCAACUUUUUUUAAUAAAAACAUGAAUAUUAUUGGAAUUUGUGAACAUUUUUAGAAUGGAAACAUGUGUUGAAAAUUCAUAACUUUUUUGAAAAUGUGUAUCUUUUAACAUUACUUUGAAUUGUGAAAAUUUCUCUAAAACAAGAAUAUUUUUUGAAUUUUUUAAAUUUCAUUUUCUUUUUAAGUUAUGAAUUUUUGGAAAACAAUAUUUUUUUUGAAAAAUGGGAAACUUUUUUCAAGUUCCGAAUAUUUUUCAAAAUAGCAACAAAAUUUUGAAAUUCUGAAUAUUUUCUAUAAUUUGAUUUUUAUUUUAAAUACUGACAUUUUUUGAGAAUUUUGAAUUUAUGAAAUAAAUUCUAUAAGAAAAAUAAACUUGGUAGGGAAAAACAGAUAAGGAAGGAGGAUAAAAAUAGAAGUAAAACACAGAAACAAAGAAAAAUGGGCCAGCUCAUUAUUGGUUGUCCUGUGUGAAGCUCCAACUAUUUGUCGCUCUGUAAGGAAAAGAGAAUUUUUCCAGCUGCGUGCACAGAAAAAUAAGUCUGCUGGCUCGCUGGGCCACAGCGCGCGGCCAUGUAUGAAAUUCUGAAAAAGUCUUUUUUUCAGCAGACGAACACAUAAGAAUUUAGUACCACCUCGGAUAGAAAAAAAAUCGAUGGUUAAUGGAUGAAAAAAUUGGCGAAACGCACCUUGCUUUAUUAGUAGAGAAGAUAAGAUAUAGAUAUAGAUACAAAUACAAGCAUGUCAUAUCAUCACACAAUUAUGGAUGAGAUAAGACCCACCUCAACAUGCAAUCAUGCAUAGAAAAAGACCCAUCACCACAAGCAACCAUACAUUGAAAAUAUUUUUCAUUCAACUAUUCUAUUUAUAUUUAAUAGAUACUUUACAAGUAUACAUAAUCAAAUAUAAUAAAGUAUAUGUGUUCUAAAUUUUGGUUCAUAUAUUACUAACUUAAAUAUUUAUAUUUCACUCAAUCAAAUUUUAUAAAAUAUAUUAUAACCGAUUCCCGCAGCAAUGCGUGGGGUAUCAUCUACUUCCUCUACAGAGAAAUAUAAGAGCGUUUAGAUACGCUCUUAUAUUUCUUUCCGGAGGGGGUAGUUGUUAUAACAAUCCCAGCUAGCUCCUGUUCGCAUGAAAAUAAAAGAAUAUUGUUGCUAUCUGGCUCCUGUUCUUUGGAAGAAGAAAAAGAAGUUGAAGAGAAAUAAUGCUGAAUAACAAGAAGAGCCGCUGGAACAGGCAGCCGUUCCCUGGCGCUCACACACCGGCGCCGGCUCUUGGCAAUUAGCGUUGCUUAUACUAAUGUUGAGAUCUUUCCAUCAGAAGAAGAGCUUAGCCCACCAUCGUAGCAUAAUGAGCAUCAGAAAUAACCUUGUUCCAAAAGGAAAAUCAGAAAUAACCUAAAUAAUGGGGCAACGUGCACGACGGCUACCGGAUCCUCAUUCUUACUUUUAUAGGUUGCUUAUAUGUUUUGUUGUCCUUCGUUUGAACUGUCUACUAUUUCUCUCAGUAGAUACCUCCUCUGUAAAGAAAUAUAAAAACGUUUAGAUCACUAAAAGUAGAAAGUACUAUUAAAAAUUAAAAUGCAAAAAUAUCUUUUUUUUAGGUAAAAAAUAUCUUAUACGUAGCUACAAAGGGAGUACCAAAUACAAGAUGCUCUUUGAUGUCUUUUUUGCAGAAGAAAAAAGUUUAACGCUUUGAAUCUAGUAGGAUCCAAGAAAUUACAUAGUAAUUCCUGUAACUAAAAAUUACAAUAAAAUACUUUGGAGAUAUCUUCUCCAUGGUAUCAAUCUUUAUAAGAUGAAAUACUUCUAUGAUUUCAGUAAAGAAGUCAUAAUUGGAUAAUAGCAACGAGAUUUUCAUUCAUUCGCCUGCAUAAACUUGAUUACGGAUUUAAGCCGGUCACGCUCAUGUAAAUAGACGAGAAGCACGUUUUAAGGUCGAAGUUGCUCUUUUGCGCUGCUGAAUUUAUAGUAAACCUUUUUCUAAGCUGGUGCCACCAUUUGGACCCACUUGCUGUUCGCUGCCGCAAAAGAUGAUGUUUCUAAGCCGGUGCCACCAUUUGGAACUAGUUGUUGUUUGCCGCUGCCCUCUCUUUUGCUUCUUCGCGUACGUGAGGGUGCACCUCACAGGGAUGUUGUCAUUGUGGAUGCAAGACGCCUCCUCUAGCGCAGUCAUCUUGACCCCAAGUGCUUGAACCAGUUGCCACCGCUAAGUGUCUCCUCCUCGUGGAACACGGUGCGCUCCCAGGUGUGGUCUAGGAUUUCUAUGGAGACGGUGAUGCCCGAGGGAGAGUCUCCGGUGACCGCGAAAACGGUGACACCGACGUACAUGGGCACUCCUUUGUUGAAAACAGACGGACUAACCGUGACGUGCCAGACGCGGCUGCGGAAGCGAAAGGUCCGGACCAAAGUGGACCGGGUUCCGGGGGGAAUCAGCGCCAGCUUCGAGUAGCCGGGGAUCGCGAACAGCUCCGUGAUGGAUUCCGUCGGGGACGAGCGGCUGGCCAUGGUCUUCCGUGAUCUGCAAUCGGUUACAGGGGUACGUAACACCAGCGUCUGUAUACAGGAAUAUAUAUAUACUAAGCCUGGCGAUAAAAAAAAAAGGAAACCAGAUCUAACUCUGCCCGAUCGUUCGGGCGGAAAUCGAAGACCUAUCUGUCCCCGACAAGUCUCUCGAUCCAGCACGUCCGUGCCUGUCUGCCUUCCGGACGGUACUGUUAGGAAUCAGCCGACGUAGUAUCUCACAACCAACCGUGACCGUCAUUAGCAAACUGACAUUACCUGAAUCACCACGUGUUAAUUAAUGUACUACCAACGUCUACCUCUAUCCCUAUCCCUAUCUCUACUACUCCUCUGUUCAUUUUUAUAAGUCGUUUAAGACAGCUAAAAUUGAACAGUUUUAGGUGCUGUCUUAAAUAAAUGUCUAAAAACGUCUUACAAAAGUGAACGGAGGGAGUACUUCAAAAAUGAGUAAGAUUACUUUGAGAUUGGAAAAUAGGCGGGGAUGUAGGACCAACAUUUGCAUAGAAAAGGUUCAGAAAACAUGGGUUGGGCUUAAACUGUUGAUAUUCCGUUUCCACGGUAGCUCGAUCCCAUGCUAGGAUCAAACUACCAGUCACAACAUUUGCGCAAAUUGAUUCCAUGAUGACCGGAAGAUGAGACCAUUGCUGCAAACUCGCCAGUCUAUUUACCCCGAACACAGCAACGUUAUGGUUCCAGUCUGUUUCGCCAAUGUAUUUAUAAGGUAAUAAUGCAGAGAGACAUGGGUUGGGCUUACAAAGACCCAGAACAAGUGCAAUUACAGCCGCAAGCGUGGUUUACCUAUCCUCAAUAUGACAAGAUUCGACGAAUACUCUGCUUGGAUGAUCCACAUGACGGUGUCAAAUAAGGCACUAUGUACUUCUUCAUGUCGCUCCUUGAUAUGCGGAGGUGACCUCCUGGCACCGACACAAACUUAACACGCCCAGCCUCAUCCAAAGUCCUCAAGCCGAUCCAGUCUUCGGUAUAUAGCUUUGUCUACACACAAGGCAUUUUCUUGCAGUCAGACACAAAUGAUAAUAACCAUACGAAAUCGCCAGAAAUUUCUUUUCAAGGAGUUGAUGCGAUGCGAGGAAUGAUGAAGUACUUUUUGGUAGAAAGAAAGAUGCAAUUCAGAAGCAGCAC